GACUUGUCCGAAAGUAGUAGAUUAUGUAAACUGGUUGUUCAUAAUCAGUUGCAGGUUAAUCUCCUUGUUCUUGUUUUCCUCUCUUGGCACUAUGGCACUAGACUAGUGUUUU
ensembl:misc_RNA Y_RNA Y RNA